rnacentral:rRNA from 1 species
GAAGGUCACGGCGAGACGAGCCGUUUAUCAUUACGAUAGGUGUCAAGUGGAAGUGCGGUGAUGCAUGCAGCUGAGGCAUCCUAACAGACCGGUAGAUUUGAAC